rnacentral:lncRNA from 1 species
CAACUUCAUAUAUCAAUGAUAAAAUUCAAGGAAAACAGAAAAUCAUUCAAACACCAAACCUUUCUUGAAUUCCUCUUUCUUUUCCUCUUCUAUUCUCUAGCUAUCUCCUUUCCCUUUGAUGUUCCUUCACCUAGGUCAAUUUAUGUCUUGGGAAAGGAUUGAAUAAGUUGUAAAUUAAAGCUUUAUAAUUCAAAUUCAUGCAUGAAGAAAUGAGAAGAUGUUAUUUCCUACACUUUUCUAAGCUUACCUUUGAUUUUCAAACUUGGUGCAUAUGGAACCCUAAACUUUUCUUCUUCAAUCCCUUCAAUAUAUGGCUGUUCCUUUAGCUCUUGGUCUUAGGAUGAAUUUUAAUUAAAGCAAGAAGUUAAUUGGGUGAGAUUUGGCUUGGCUUUGGUGGAAGGAAGACAAAAUAAAGCUUUGGUUUUCAAUGGUGGGAGCUACGGCAAAGUGAAAUGGUGGAGAAGAUAAUCCCUUUUUCAUUUUGCUUUAUCAUUUCUCCUUUCCUUAGUUAGGUGACACAUGGAAAUAAACUUAAUUUUAUGUUUUAACUUUCAAUUUUUACACUUUAACGUACUAAACUUGUAACGACCCCAAAAUGGACCGUCACCGGCGCUAGGAUUCAGGUCGGCUUAAGGCCGCCGGAACCCGUAGCAAGCUUGCUAUACUCUCUGUGUACCUGUAAACCUCAUACAUGAUCAUACAUUUUCUGUGAAAAUAAAACUCUUUUCUGAACCAAGGCUUAACCUGUGCAUGCACUAUCUCUGUACUCUGUACUCAUGUACUCUGUACUCUGUAUCCCUGACUAGAGCUUGCUCUAGAUGGGUUUACUCAUACCUGUUAAGCCUGGUUUUCACAUACAGGAAAACAUAUAUACAUAUACAGAUCAUGUACAAAACAUACAUCACUAGGUCAAGCAACAACUAUUACAUCUCUUUAAUAUUACAUGUCCACUCUAAGCUAUUACAGAUCUCUUUACUUUUCCUGUACUCUGCUGGACUGUCCCUGUACACUGUACACUGAACCUGCAAAACUGGGGUUAAGGGAGUGGGAUGAGCUCUAUAGCCCAGUGAGUAGAACAGUAAAACAUCUCAGUAAAAUAUGAUCUCAUGGAAUGCACCAUAUCACAAACAAGCCACAUCAAGAGUAAACCUGUCACCACAUAGUCCCAGUAACUCUGUGCCAGGGCGUAGAAUCGAGCACCUGGUCUUCCUGUCAUAUAUGUAUAUGUGUAUAUAACACCUCUGUACUUACCAUUGCCAGGGCGUAGUCAAAGGCUCCUGGACUUUACUAUACCUGCCAGGGCGUAGUCAAAGGCUCCUGGACUUCACUAUACCUGCCAGGGCGUAGUCAAAGGCUCCUGGACUUCCUGUCUGAGACUAUUGGAUCAUUCAGCAUUCAGUCACAUCACCAAAUAACAAUGCAAUGCAACAUAUUCGUGAAUACUAAUGCAAUCAACCUAUGGCAUAAACAUGAUGCAUGAGAUAUGCUUAAAGCAGUUAUGGUUCAAUUAAAAGUCAUAAGUUUAGUUCCACUCACCUCUGGCUAUCUGGACUGACUGACUCUGCAGGUUCUGAACCUCUGGAGCAGUACUCACUGCUGCUCUCUCUGGUUCCUCUGGUCUGUACCUAUACAGAUGGACUCAAAUGAGGGACCAAACAAGCGUAGAAUAACUCUCUUAAACUCCCCAAGAAUCCCCUUAAACUCACUCAACUAUCUAUGCAAAGCAUGCAAAAGAAAACUGGACAGGAUACUUUCGGCGGCAGGUUCGGCGGCCGAAUGUCCUCUCCAGAGACGAAACUCAAGCACCUUCGGCGGCACCUUCGGCGGCCGAAUCCCCCAAACAGAGCCGAACAUGCAAAAACACGCGGGGGCAAGCUGUGGCAAGGAAGCCACCAUGCAGGAGGUUCGGCGGCCGAAUGAACCUUCGGCUGCCGAACCUGAGUUCAUCCAGAACUCAGCUUCAACGGCAAACCAUCUCCUCCUUCCCUUCAACACUUUCUAACAUGCAUCCUUCACGUAUGCAACACACAUAUAUUCAAGUAUAUGUUCACAGGGGUCCAAAACUAGCUAAUAACCCCAAACAACAAAACAAACAUAACACAUCAACAUGUAUACAUACAUAAAUCAUCAAACACUACCAUGAAUAACCUAAGCAUGCUUCUCCUUCCUUUCACUCUUCAGAAAACAUAUAAACAGGGUCUAAAACUGCCCUUACCUCUGGAAACAGGAAGAUACACACACUGAACAAAGGAAAAACAGAUCAACCUCUCUUCAAACUCUCAAAAUCUCAAAAGCGUAACUUUUGUUUCUCUCAACUCUCAACACCUUUGCAAGCACCUCAAACUGCUGUAAGAACAACCAAAAACAUGUACAGAUGAGUCAUAAGAGACGUGGUCAUUCCAUAGCAAGAAUCUGAGGCCAACACUUGUCAAAAAAACACAUGACUCAGCUCACUAGCCAACUCAGCUUCGGCUGCCCAAUCGCAUGCGAAACCAUGCAACAUUCGGGGGCCGAACUUGAAUUUCAGAAGCCGAACAUUGGGCACUUUCGGCGGCCGAACUUACCUUCGGCGGCCGAACUUGGCUGAAGUCUCCAUGAACUAUUUAUCUUCAAAACUCAAAACUAUAUAACUUAUAAACCUGAAAACACAUCAUAACACUUAGAAAACAAAACUCCUACCCUUAUAAGAAUCCCAACACCCCGGAUUCCACCAGACAACAGGAAUUCCGGUGCCGGAUUCUAGCCGGGUAUUACAAAACUCUUUACCAUGUUUUAAUUUAGUUUUUAAACUUUCAAUAAUCAUAGAUUGACCUACUAAACUAUACAUUUAGCCUUUUAGAAGUCCUUUUCACUUAAGCAAGCAUGACGGAUUUAAACAAGCACCUCAAGCAAGCAUGUUGGGAAACCCUAAGCACCUCCCGAAAGUGACUCGUUCCCGACUCACUAAUCACACUGGCUACUUCAUUUUUGGAUAUGUCCGUUUCUUUAUUUGAGUUUUCUAUGAUUCAAUUAUUAGCAGCUUAGAGUUAAGCUAGCUCCUCCCCUAAUGCCACUUACUCUAGUAGUAAAAUAGCCUAACCCUACCUUGUGAUGGCACUACUCUAGCUAUGGAUUUGAGGAUGUUACAACUCUUCCCCUCUUACGGAAUUUCGUCCUCGAAAUUUUACCUGCUUUGAAUAGCUAUGGAUAUUGUUGCUUCAUCACUUCUUCACUCUCCCAUGUAGCUUCUUCUGCCUUGUGAUUUCUCCACAACACUUUCACUAAGGGAAUCUUCUUAUUUCUUAACUCUUUCAUUUCCCUUGCUAAAAUUUUCAUUGGUUCUUCUUCAUAAGUUAAAUCAGCUUGUACAUCAAUGGUUUCUGCUGAAAUGACAUGUGACGGGUCCGAUCUGUAUCUUCUUAACAUGGAUAUAUGGAAGACAUUGUGUAUUCUGUCUAACUCUGGAGGUAAAGCUAGCCUGUAGGCUACUGGACCCACACACUCAACUAUUUCAUAUGGACCAACAAACCGAGGGCUUAGCUUACCUUUCUUGCCAAAUCUUAGCACUUUCUUCCACGGAGAAACUUUUAGAAACACUUUGUCCCCAACAACAAAUUCUAUAUCUUUUCUUUUCAAAUCUGCAUAGGAUUUUUGCCUAUCUGUUGCAACUUUCAAUCUUUCUUUGAUAAUUUUCACUUUCUCCUCGGUCUGUCUUAUCAAGUCUGGACCUACAAGUUUAGUUUCACUAAGUUCUGUCUAGCAUAAUGGGGUUCUACAUUUUCUGCCAUACAAUGCUUCAUAGGGAGCCAUUUUAAUACUAGUCUGAUAACUGUUGUUGUAAGCAAAUUCUACUAGUGGGAGAUAUCUUUCCCAGCUUCCUUCAAAUUCAAUUACACAACUUCUAAGCAUAUCUUCCAAAACUUGAAUCACUCUCUCUGACUGGCCAUCUGUCUGAGGAUGAAAAGCUGUACUAAAAUUCAAUCUUGUCCCUAAAGCUUCAUGUAGUUUUUUCCAGAAUCUAGAUGUGAAUCUUGGAUCUCUGUCUGAUAUGAUAGAGAUAGGAACACCAUGUAGUCUCACAAUUUCAUUAAUGUACAAUUCUGCAUACUUUUCCAAUGUAUAAUCCAUUCUGAUUGGCAAGAAAUGCGCUGAUUUAGUUAACUUGUCAACUAUUACCCAGAUGGCAUCUUUCUUCCUUGGUGUGAGUGGCAAUCCUGUCACAAAAUCCAUGGUAAUUCUAUCCCAUUUCCAUUCUGGUAUAGCGAUAGGCUGCAAUAACCCUGAUGGAACCUGAUGUUCUGCUUUCACCCGUUGACAUGUCAAACAUUUUGUUACCAAUUCAGCUAUAUCUCUUUUCAUACCUGGCCACCAAUAGUGCAUCUUCAAAUCUUGAUACAUCUUAGUGCUACCUGGAUGUAUAACAUAUGGACUGUUGUGUGCCUCUAUAAGAAUACUCUGUUUCAGCUCUCCAGCAUUAGGUACACAUAUUCUAUUACCAUAGUACAAGUAGCCAUCAUCACUUAUCACAUGCUUCUGCUUCUUCCCCUCUUGUACUUGUCUAGUCCAUAAGGCUAUCUCUGUAUCUUCUUUCUGUGCUCCUUUAAUUUGUUGCAGUAAGUUGGGUCUAAUUUUCAAUUAUGCUAUGAUAGCUCUAUCAUCUGCUAUAGUCAACUGCACAUUCAUUGCUUUUAAUGCAAAUAAGGAUUUCCUGCUGAGUGCAUCUGCUACCAGAUUAGCUUUUCCUGGGUGAUAAUCUAUAAUGCAAUCAUAAUCUCUCAGUAACUCUAGCCAUCUUCUUUGUCUCAGGUUUAGCUCUUUCUGUGUGGGCAAGUAUUUCAGACUUUUAUGAUCUGUAUAGAUGUAACAUUUCUCACCAUAUAAGUAAUGUCUCCAUAUCUUUAGUGCAAAAACUAUGGCCGUUAACUCUAGAUCAUGGGUAGGAUAGUUCUUCUCAUGUGGCUUCAAUUGUCUGGAAGCAUAGGCAAUCACUUUACCUUCUUGCAUCAAAACACAUCCAAGUCCAUUGUGAGAAGCAUCACUGUAUAUCACAAAUUCCUUUCCAAAAACAGGUUGUGUAAGUACAGGUGCUUCGGUGAGCAUAGUCUUCAAUAUGUCAAAGCUUGCCUGACAUCUAUCAUCCCAAACAUACUUAACAUUCUUAUGUAAUAAUUUAGUCAAUGGAGCUGCUAUAAGUGAAAACCCUUUCACAAACCGUCUAUAGUACCCAGCUAGACCCAAGAAACUCCUGAUCUCUGCAACAUUCUUUGGUGGCUUCCAUUCCAGAACAGCUUUAAUCUUCUGUGGUCCACCCUGAUUCCCUUUGCUGAUACAACAUGUCCCAAAAAUGUUACUUUAUUGAGCCAAAAAUCACAUUUACUGAACUUAGCAUAAAGUUGCUUUUCCCAUAGAGUCUGCAAUACUACCCUCAGAUGCCUGUCAUGGUCUUCCUUAGUUUGAGAGUAUACCAGAAUAUCAUCAAUGAAUACUACAACAAACUGGUCUAAAUAUGGAUGGAAGAUACGGUUCAUCAGAUCCAUGAAUGAUGCAGGUGCAUUUGUUAACCCGAAUGGCAUAACCAGGAACUCAUAGUGUCCAUAUCGUGUCCUGAAUGCAGUCUUAGGCACAUCUGCCCCUUUAACUCUCAACUGAUGGUAGCCCGAUCUCAAAUCUAUCUUACAGAAAAUGCUGGCCCCUUUUAACUGAUCAAACAAAUAAUCUAUUCUAGGCAGUGGAUAUUUAUUCUUUAUAGUUACCUUAUUCAACUGUCUGUAAUCAAUGCACAACCGAAGAGAUCCAUCUUUCUUUUUUACAAAUAACACUGAUGCACCCCAUGGUGAAACACUAAGUCGAAUAAAGCCCUUAUCAAGUAACUCUUGUAACUGUAUUUUCAACUCUUCUAAUUCUGUAGGAGCCAUUCUGUAAGGAGCAAUUGAAAUAGGUGCGGUACCUGGCACAACUUCUAUAGCAAAAUCCACUUCCCUUUCUGGAGGUAACCCUGGCAACUCUUCAGGAAAUACAUCUGGAAAAUGACAUACUGUGGGUAGGUUUGACACACUUGGGCCUUCCUUCUUAGUUUUAAUCACACUAGCUAGAUAGGCUGUACAGCCUUUUCUAAUCAACCUCCUAGCUGUAGUGGCAGAUAUGACAUUAGAGAGGUAAUCUGACCUCUCACCCAUAACUAUAACCUCAGAACCCUCUGAUGUUUUGAGUGUGACUCGCUUUAACUUACAAUCAACUAUGACAUGAUGUCUAGACAAGCAAUCCAUACCCAAAAUCACAUCAAACUCUCUAAAAGGUAACUCUAUCAAAUCACCUAAAAAGGUGUGACCUUGCACACAUAUAGGACAAUCUCUGUAAACUCUAUUCACAAUCACAAGAUGUCCUAAGGGAUUGGUCACUGCUAUGUCAUGUUCUAAGAGUUCUACUUGAAUUCCCUUGACAUUACUGAUGGGUAUGCUAAUGUAUGAAUGUGUGGAACCAGGAUCAAUUAAUGCAUAAACAUAUUUGCCAAAGAUAGAAAAUUUACCAGCUAUAACAUCUGGUUUGUCUUGGUCUUACUUUGCACGAAUAGCAUAUGCCCUGGCAGGUGCUCUAGUGUCUGGUCUGUCUACUGUCUCUAAUACUCUGUGACUCUGAGCGUUACUAGAUUCACCUUUACCUCUACCUCUGCCUCUAGACCCUGUCUGCAUAGAUCUCUCUAUCUGCAUAGGCUGCACUGACUGGCCUCUAGGAUAAUCCCUCAUAAAGUGGUCUAAGCUUCCAUAUAAGUAGCAAGCCCCAAUUAAUCUCCUGCAUACUCCGCCAUGUCUCCUGCCACAAUGCUCACAUAUUGGUGGCAACCCUCUACCUGGUCCUCCUGUACUAGAUACUGAGGUAGUUUGCUGUCCAGACCUCACUACUGAACUCCGCCCAGGUCUCUGAAUCUGCCUAGGUGGCCCUCUCUGCCCUGUCUGCUGAAAUUCCCUUUGUCUCUUACUAGUUGUCUGUGAUGCAAAGGACUGUCCCUGAUACUGGCUCUGGCUCCUCUUCUGCUGCCCUUUCUGCUUUCUACUUUGCUCUUCUUCUUUAAUUCGCUCCAGGCUGUGGGCUGUCUCUACUAAAACUGAAAGUUCCCUGAUGUGCAUAGCUGUGAGGUACAUCCUGAUAUUAGCAUGUAAUCCUUGCUCAAAGCGUUUACAUCUCUCUUCCUCUGUAGGAACUAUCUCUGUGGCAUACUUACUAAGUCGAACAAAUUCUCGCUCAUACUCAGUUACUGUAAGCCUGCCCUGUCUGAGGUAUAAGAACUCCCUCCUUCUCUCCUCUAUAUAUAAGGCCCCAACAUAUUUCUUCUUAAACUCUGCCAAAAAGAAUUCCCAAGUCUGCCGCUCUAGUCGAACCAUCUGUGUUAAUGUUGUCCACCAUCUAUAGGCUUCAUCCUUUAGCAAUGAUACUGCACACAUUAAGCUCUCUGCUGGUGAACACUGUAGCUACUGUAAAACCCUUUCUGUACUUUCUAGCCAGAAUUCUGCAGCUGAAGGAUCAUCUUCCUUUUUACCUCUAAACUCUGUAGCACCAUAUUUUCUGAGUUUUUCUAUUAGAGGCAUAGGUUGUGCCUGGGCUACAAUAGGUGGGGGAACUUCAACUGCUACAGGUGGUUGUGGUGAUACCUCUGGCACAUUUUGGGUAACCCUCCUAAGCAACUCAGUUAUUUGCUGAAACAAUGCAUCCUGCCCUGAUCCGCCAGCAGCAGCAGGUGGAGGAGUAGCAGCAGGUGCAGCUGCCUCAGAGGGAGCAUGACUCUCUACCUCUUCAUCUAUUGCUCUUUGUGACUCAGAUGACAUCUUCUAUCAGACCUAAAGACAUAAAGAAAGAGAUUUACAUCAGAACUGUAAUACCCAGCUAGACUCCGGUAUCGGAAUUCCUACCGUCCGGUGGAAUCUCGGAUGUCAGAAACCUCUAGAAGGGUAAAACCAUGUUUUCAUAAAAUGUUUUAAUGUAUUUUAUGGUUUUAAGCAAGAAAGGAAAUGAGUUUUGUAUGAAAAUAGCCUUGGAGGAAAACUCAGGUUUGGCCGCCGAACCUCAAGUUCGGCUGCCGAACAUGCAUGCGCUUCGGGAGUGCUUUAGGCCCCCGAAGGCAUAAGUGAGGGAAGUCCAGGUUCGGCCGCCGAACCUUAUGUUCAGCCGCCGAACAUGGCAUGCAUGCGGAGGCAUGCUAGGCCCCCGAAAGUGGCCUGGCCAGCCACCUAUAAAGGGGUCCCCAUGUCUGAACGGGUGAGCUUUUCUCCCCGUUUUCGGCCAAGGUGAGUUCUUCGCCAUCCCUCAUCGAUUUUGAGCUUCUUCCUUCGAAUCUUUAUGAUUUUCUUAUAGUUUUCACUUGGUUUGAAGAUAUUUGAGCAAAAGAGCAAGUUUUGAAGCUUGGAGACCAAAGAGGUGAUUUCUCCCCAUCUCCAAGCUAGGAUCGUCUUUCCUCUCGAUCUCCAAGAGGUAAGCUUAGAUCCAACAUUCCUUGUAUGUUUUAAGCAAGUUUUAUGAAGAUCUAUGGGGUAGAAAUGCAUGUUUAGGUUAUUGUUGAGUUUAUGGGUUUAUGUUAUGUUUAUGAGCAAUGUGGGUAGUAUGUGUAUGUUUGAUGUGUUUUGGUUGGGGUUUAGGAUAGUUUGAGACCCUUAUAUGCUUGUUGGCUUGUGUUUGCUUGUUGUAGAAUAAGUAAAUGCAUGUGUGAUUGGAUUGGGAGAUUUUUUAUGCAUGAAAGAGGCUUAGUUCUGCCCUUGGGAAGAACUCAGGUUCGGCAGCCGAAGGCUCUUUUGGCCGCCGAACCUGCCUGUGGAGGCCAACUUUUGGCUGCCGAACCCUGCCCCCGAAAGUGGACUUUCGGCUCUGGAAGGGAGUUUCGGCCGCCGAAGGUGCCGCCGAACAUGCAUGAGUUUCGUCUCUGGAGGGAACCUUCAGCCACCGAAAGUGUCGCCGAAGGUGCAUGACUUUCGGCUCUGGAGGGACUUUCGGCCGCCGAACCUACCGCCGAAAGUGCCCUGUGUAGCCCUUCUUUGCAUGUUUUCUAUGAUUGUUUUGAGGUGUUUUAAGGGGAUUUUGGGGAGUAUUUUGAGUCAUGUUCUUGGAUAUUUGGUCCCUCAUUUGAGUCCACCUGUGUAGGUUCGGACCCGAGGAACCGAGGACCCCAGCAGUGAGUUAACAGCUUUAGAGUCAGCCUGAGGUGAGUAGAAUAGACCUUUAUGUUUUAAUUUAAUGAAAGUUUUGGCAUAACUCAUGCAUCACGAAUGCCAUGUGAUAUUCUAGGUUGUUGCAUUAGAAAUUCAUGAAUAUGUUGCAUUGCAUAUUAUGUUGUUGAUGUGGAUGAAUGUUGAAUGAUCCAUUAGUCCUCGUAUGUUAUGGUAUGAUAUGAUGAUGAUAUAGUUUGGAAGUCCAGGAAGACCCAUUCUAUGUCCCUGGCACUAUGUAAGAGAAAGUACAGGAAGACCCAUUCUACGUCCCUGGCAUAUUGGAAUGUUAUGAUAUAUUAUGUAAGAGGAAGUCCAGGAAGACCCAUUCUACGUCCCUGGCACUAUUGGAUAUGUAGAGGACUAUUGGUGACAAGUUCAUCCUUAAUGUGAUUUGUUUGUGAUGUGAUGCAUUUCAUGAAAGCAUGAACUUUUAAUAUAAUGUUUUAUUAUUCUGCUCACUGGGCUCUAGUAGCUCACCCUGUUUCCCUAAUCCCCCAUGUAUGUAGGUUCGGGAUAGGCCAGGAGGUCAAGAAGAGUAAAGUUUCGUCUAUGUAAUAGUUAGAUGUGGACAUGAUAUAUUGUAAAGUACUAAACAGUUAUGUAAUGUAAUGAUGAGUAUGGAGGUUUAGAAUUGUGCUUGACCCUAGUAUGUUGUUAAUCCCUUUUUGGUUACAUGAUCUUUUAAUGAAAUGUUUUAUGAUGUUUAAGUUUAACCAAAUUUUUAUGAUAUUAUGUUACCCCAUUGGAGCAUUGAUGAGGACUCCAAUGUGGGGUUGAUGAUUAUGAUCAUUAGUUGUGCAUGCACAGGUUGAGUUUGGCAAUUGAAUGAGAAAAGUUCAAAAUUUUUAUGUUUAUGAUUGAUCAUGUAUGGGAUUAAACAGGUUUUCAGGAUGUAUGUCAGGCUUGCUACGGGUCCCGGCGGCCUUAUACCGUUCUGGAUCCUAGCGCCGGUAACUAUAAUACCCGGCUAGAGUCCGGCAUCAGAAUUCUACUUUCCGGUGGAAUCCGGGAUGUCGGAAGUCUCUAGAAGGGGUAGAUUUCUGUUUUUCUACCAUGUUUUGAUAUGUUUCAUAGUUUUAAAGCCUAAGGAAAUGAGUUUUUGAAUGAAAUGAACCAAGGUAGAAAAGCCAGGUUCGGCCGCCGAAGUUGAGGUUCGGCCGCCGAACAUGCAUGGCUUUCGGUUUCACGAUAGGCCGCCGAAGGUGGUCUGGCCAACCACCUAUAAAAGGCCCUCAGUCGGUUGAAAGGAUAAGCUUCGCCGCUUCCUUUCGAUUUCUGAGGUGAGACUCUGUCCUUCUUGAGUAUUUUACAUGUUUUCAUCAAAUCUUGCAAAGGUUUGAUUAGUUUUUAUGUUAUUUUGAAGGUUUUAAGCUAAAAACUCAAAGUUGUGACUUUUGGAGAGUUUGAAGAAGAGUUGCUUCAAAACUCCACGUUAGGAUCAUUCAUCUACUUGGUUGCAAAAGGUAAGUGAAGAUCCUGAACUUGUUUUUAUGAUUUUUGAUGGUUUUAUGGGGUUUUUGGAGAGAGUUGCAUGAAUAGGUUAAAAAGAGAGUUUUUGGUGAUUUUUGUGAGAAAAGCUUGUUUGUGUGAUAUGUGCUUUGUGUUGUUGGGGUUUUUAGGUAGUGUUUGACCCCUUUGAGCAUAUACAUGAGUGUAUGCAAGUUGAGGAAGUGAGGUGUGAAGUUGGAGAGGAGUUUGGUGCAUUUGGCGAGAGGCAGGGCAAGUUUCUGCCCUGCUGAUGAACUCAGGUUUGGCCGCCGAAGGUAUAUUCGGCCGCCGAACCCCUGACAAGGUGAGAGGAGGUGGCUUCGGCUGCCCAAGCUUGCCCCCGAGCUUUUGGACUUUCGGCUCUGGAGGGAAGUUCGGCCGCCGAAGGUGCCGUCGAAGGUUAGAGACUUUCGUCUCUGGAGUGCCUUUCAGCCUCCGAAACUUGCCCCUGAAAGGGUUCGGCUGCCGAAAGUAGAGAUUCGGCCGCCAAAGGUGCAUGAGUUUCGUCUCUGGAGAGGACUUUCGGCCGCCGAACCUGCCGCCGAAAGUGUUCUGUCCAGCUUUUCUUUUGCAUGCUUUGCAUGAGUUUUAGAGUGAGUUUAAGGGGAUUCUUGGGGAGUUUAAUAGAGUUAUUCUUAAGCUAGGUUGGUCCCUCAUUUGAGUCUUUCUGUGCUUACACAGAUCAGAGGACCCAGAGAGAGCAGCAGUGAGUGCUGCUCCAGAGUGUUCAGAGCCUGCAGAGUCAGUUCAGAUAGCCAGAGGUGAGUGGAACUAAACUUAACUCUUUUAAUUGACCAAUGGAAUGUUUUAGCAUAUUUCAUGCAUCAGGAUUAUGCAAUAGGUUGAUUGCAUUAGUAUCCACGAAUAUGUUGCAUUGCAUAGUUAUUUGUUGAUGUGGGUGAAUGCUGAAUGAUCCAAUAGUCUCAAACAGGAAGUCCAGGAGCCUUUGACUACGCCCUGGCAGUUAUAGUAAAGACCAGGAGCCUUUGACUAUGCCCAGGCAAUGGUAAGUACAGAGGUGUUAUAUACACAUAUACAUAUAUGACAGGAAGACCAGGUGCUCGAUUCUACGCCCUGGCACAGAGUUACUGGGACUAUGUGGUGACAGGUUUACCUUUGAUGUGGAUUGUCUAGGAUAUGGUGCAUUCCAUGAGAUCAUGUUUUAAAUGAUAUGUUUUACUGUUCUACUCAAUGGCUAUAGAGCUCAUCCCACUCCCUUAACCCCAGUCUUGCAGGUUCAGUGUACAGUGUACAGACGGGAUCAGCAGAGUACAGGCAGAGUAAAGAGAGUUGUACUAGCUUAGAGUGGACAUGUAAAUUGAAAGAGAUGUAACAGUUGUGUAUACAGUUAGAAAUGUGCUUGACUUAGUGAUGUUUGUGUUGUAAAUCCUUUGUUAUGUACAUGAUCUGUAUAUGUAUAUAUGUUUUACUGUAUAUGAAAAACCAGGCUUAACAGGUAUGAGUUAACCCAUCUAGAGCAAGCUCUAGUCAGGGGUACAGAGUACAGAGUACAGAGUACAGAGAUAGUGCAUGCACAGGUUAAGCCUUGGUACAGAGAAAAGAGUUUUUAUUUUCACAUAAAAUGUAUGAUCAUGUAUGAGAUUUACAGGUACACAGAGAGUAUAGCAGGCUUGCUACGAGUUCUGGCGGCCUUAAGCCGACCUGAAUCCUAGCGCCGGUGACGGUCCAUUUUGGGGUCAUUACAGAUUGGUAUCAGAGCCCUAGGUUCACAUGAUCGGACCUAUAGAAAGAGUGUCGGGCUCAUAGAAGUUACAGUUGAUCAAGCACAAUUGGAAAGCAUGUCCACUAGGAUAGGGUGUUGAGUCCUAUCUGUUUGCUGCCAUGAGUUAUGCAUGUGCAUUCUUGAGAUGUGAUGUUUAUGUGCUAAAGUGUUAUCUUCUGUUUUGUUUUCCAGAGAGUAAAGAUGCGAGGAACUCGUCGAUCAGCUCGAUUGAUUGGAGUCCCACUAGAUAGUGAGAGACCAACUGCUCGUCCUCCUGCAUUGCCAAGGGCAAGGUCUCAGAGAUCUAGCAGGGAAGGUAUGUCAAUAGACCCUAGAAGGUCUGUCGACAAGAGCAGAAGGGGAACAGCUAGGGGAGGCAGAUCAGAGGAAAUGAGGGAGGCUAUGGAGAUUGACCAGUCUAGAGAUGACAGCAUGGGUGUAGGCAGAUUUGAGGAAGGUAUGGGAGAGUCGCAGGGAGGUGUGCAGACCUCAGGUUUUGGCUAUCCAGCCUUUCCGCAGGACCCAUAGUAUCCGAUGGGAGGUAUGUCGGAGUACUCUAGUUUUGUCCCAUAUCCUCCUUACAUGCCAUAUAUGCAUUAUCCUCCUUAUUAUCCACCAUAUCCUAUGUAUCCACCUUCCCCUACCCAUCCAAGUGCAGCACAUCCAGAGCCAAAUGACCCAGUACCACCACCAGAACCAGUAGCCCCUGUUGUUGACAGACAUCAACCUAGCUCAUCUGGAGGUAAAGUGCAAAUGACAGAGUACUUGAAAUUGGAUGCUCCUAAAUAUAAUAUGGGAGAUGAUCCAUUUGAAUACCUCCGAUCAGUUAGGAUGAUAACCAGUGAAUUGGGAGCUGAUGAUAGUAGGGCCAUUGAGAUGGCAGGGUUUACACUCAAAUGUAAGAAAGCCAGAGAAUGGUUUAAGAACUAUAUGGAGCCCAGGAUCGACAAUAUGUCAUGGGGAGAGUUCGCCAAUGAGUUUGCAGGGUGGGCUUUUCCUGAUAGCUCCAGAGAGAUGAAAGUAAUAGAAUUUGAACAGUUGCGCCAGACAGACAAAAUGAGUGUUGAUGACUUCACAGAUAAGUUCCUGGAUUUGCUUCAGUAUGUGGGUCAAGCCUAUGAUACUGAGCAGAAGAAGGCAAGGAGAUAUACUAUGAGAUUGCAUCCCAGGUAUUCUUCCUUGAUUCUUCCAGCAGAAAAGGAGAGUUUCCACACUAUAGUGGACGCAGCCAGGAAAAUGGAAGCUAAUGCCAAUAUGCAGAAACAGUCAAAGGCGCAGGCUUCGGGUUCUAAGGCCCCCAAUUCAGCACCUUCAGGCAGCAAGAGAUGGGAUAGAGCAAAAGGAACAAAGAGUAAGUUCUGGAAUAGAGUCAAGUCAGGUCUGGGAAUAGGUAGUGGCUCAAGCUCUGGCACAGCUCCAGUAUGCAGAAGAUGCGGAAGACCACAUAGAGGAGCUUGUCGGUUGGGAUCUACAGCUUGUUUUAAAUGUGGACAGGAAGGGCAUAUUGCUCGGGAUUGUCCUCAGGUGACUUUUGUACCAUCCCAGCAGAUGAGUUCAGGCAGUGUGGUACAGCCAGUUGUACAACCAGCAACUCCAGUCAUGCCUCAGAGUAGUGGCAGAGGUAGAGGGAGAGGGGCAGCCUCUACUUCAGCAGCAGGUUCCCGAGGUGGAAAUCCGGUAGCCCCAGCAUAGAUUUUCACUGUGACACAGGAGGAGGCUAACACGUCGAAAACAGUGGUGUCAGGUAAUCUCAUCAUUGGGUGUUCAGAUGUGUAUGCUUUGAUGGACCCCGGUGCUUCUCAUUCCUUUAUUGCUUCGAGAGCCAUAGAGAGAUUGGGUUUGAUCAGUUCUGAGUUAGAGUAUCCUCUCUGGGUCAGUGGACCCAAAUGUGACCCAUCAGUGACAAUGUCAGUCUGUCGUUUCAGUCCAGUGUUUAUAGAGGGUAGAUGCCUUCCAGCUGACCUUGUGGUUCUAGACUUGACAGAUUUUGAUGUCAUUCUAGGGAUGGAUUGGCUAUCUGCAUAUAGUGCUACUUUGGACUGUAGAGAGAAGAUAGUUAGUCUCAGAGACCAGGAUGGGUCAGAGUGUGUCUUCAGAGGAGACAGGAGAGGUACACCCAGAGGUUUGAUUUCAGCCCUUCAGGCUCGUCGUUUGCUUAGGAGGGGUUGUUAGGGGUUUCUAGCUCAUGUGAGAGAGCUAGACAGUCAGGUUAGGGAACCAGCCACAGUACCAGUAGUCCGAGAGUAUCUCGAUGUGUUCCCAGACGAUUUACCAGGACUACCACCUGAUAGGGAGAUAGGGUUUGAAAUCGAAUUGCUGCUAGGUACCAGACCUAUCUCUAUUCCUCCCUACAGGAUGGCGCCAGCAGAGUUAAAAGAGUUGAAAGAACAGUUGCAGGAUUUGGUAGAUAAGGGUUUCAUCUGCCCUAGUACCUCACCUUGGGGUGCUCCAGUGCUUUUUGUUAGAAAGAAGGAUGGAUCUCUCAGACUUUGUAUCGACUACAGACAGUUGAACAAGGUCACUACCAAGAAUAGGUAUCCUCUACCUCGGAUUGAUGAUCUAUUCGACCAGCUAGCUAGAGCAGGUUGUUUCUCUAAAAUAGAUCUGAGAUCCGGGUAUCAUCAGUUGAGAGUUAGAGAGGCAGAUGUGCCUAAAACAGCUUUCAGGACCAGAUAUGGGCAUUAUGAGUUCUUAGUGAUGCCGUUCGGGUUGACUAACGCCCCUGCAGCAUUCAUGGAUCUCAUGAACAGAGUUUUCGGUGAGUUUCUGGAUCACUUUGUCAUUGUUUUCAUUGAUGAUAUAUUAGUGUAUUCCAGAGAUGCAGAGGAGCAUGCCCAGCAUCUGAGGAUAGUUCUGCAGACACUAAGAGAGCAUGGUUUGUAUGCCAAGUGCUCUAAGUGUGAGUUUUGGUUGAGGAGCAGACCCCAAGAAGAUAGAGGCUGUAGCUAACUGGCCCAGACCCACUACAGUGACUGAGAUUAAAAGUUUUCUGGGACUGGCAGGUUACUACAGGAGGUUCGUUCAGAACUUCUCAAAGAUAGCGGCUCCUAUGACCAAACUGACUCAAAAGAACCAGAAGUUUAUCUGGUCAGACCAGUGCGAAGAGAGCUUUGAGGAGCUCAAGAGAAGAUUGACAUCAGCACCAGUGCUCGCUCUGCCUAUUAGUGACGAGGAUUUCACAGUGUUCUGUGACGCAUCUCGAGUGGGAUUGGGUUGUGUUUUGAUGCAGAGUGAUAGGGUGAUUGCUUAUGCUUCUAGACAGUUGAAGAAGCACGAGGUAAAUUACCCCACCCAUGACCUAGAGAUGGCAGCAGUUAUCUUUGCACUUAAGAUGUGGAGGCAUUACCUCUACGGAGUAAAAUGCGAGAUCUUCACCGAUCAUAAGAGUUUACAGUACAUCUUGAGUCAGAGAGAGCUGAAUUUGAGGCAGAGAAGAUGGGUGGAAUUGCUCAGUGAUUAUGAUUGUAAGAUCCAGUAUCAUCCGAGUAAGGCGAAUGUUGUGGCAGACGCCCUAAGCCGGAAGUCACUAGGCAGUUUAUCCCAUAUAGCAGCAGAGCGGAGACCAGUUGUUAUGGAGCUUUACAAACUCUUAGAGGAAGGAUUACAGUUAGAAUUGUCUGGUACAGGUGCAUUGAUCGCACAGAUGAGAGUGACACCUGUGUUUCUGGAGCAGAUAGCGCAGAAACAGUACGAGGACCUAGAGUUGAUGAAAAUUGCCAGGACUGUUCAAUCAGGCAACAGUGCAGAGUUUAGAAUUGACAGCAAAGGGAUCCUCCGUUAUGGGAGUCGACUUUGUGUACCAGAUAGGAGCAGUAUGAAGGAAGACAUUAUGAGGGAAGCUCAUAAUGCGCGGUAUAGUGUUCACCCAGGAGCCACCAAGAUGUAUCAAGAUUUGAAAAGGGUCUAUUGGUGGCCAGCCAUGAAGAAAGAAGUGGCGUAGUUUGUGACAGCCUGUGAGGUUUGUCAACGGGUGAAACUAGAGCAUCAGAAGCCGGCUGGAAUGCUUAACCCACUGCCGAUACCAGAAUGGAAAUGGGAGAACAUAGCUAUGGAUUUUGUAGUGGGUUUACCGGCAGCGUCCAAUAGGAUAAACUCUAUUUGGGUGAUUGUGGACAGACUCACGAAAUCUGCUCAUUUUCUUCCAGUACGGAGUAACUAUUCUGUGGAUAAGUUGGCACAGGUCUAUCUGGAUGAGAUAGUGAGAUUACAUGAAAUUCCAGUGUCUAUAGUCUCAGACAGAGGACCUCAGUUUACCUCCGAAUUUUGGCGAAGUUUGCAGAGUGCGAUGGGCACGAGGUUGGAUUUUAGCACUGCUUUCCACCCACAGACUGAUGGACAGUCAGAGAGGACCAUCCAGACCAUAGAGGAUAUGCUUCGACUGUGUGUGUUAGACUUUGGCGGUUCUUGGAGGCAGCAUCUACCUCUAGUGGAGUUUGCCUACAAUAACAGCCAUCAUGCUAGCAUAGGGAUGGCUCCUUAUGAAGCUUUGUAUGGGCGGAAGUGCAGAUCCCCUGUUUGCUGGGAAGAAAUAGGAGAGAAGGCUCUUGCAGGGCCAGAGUUAGUAGAGAUUACCAGUAGAGUGGUGCCCAUGAUCAGAGAGAGAAUCAGAACAGCUCAGAGCAGACAGAAAAGUUACGCAGACGUUCGCAGAAAGCAGUUAGAGUUUCAGGAGGGUAGUAUGGUAUUACUGAAGGUGUCUCCAAUGAAAGGCGUGGUUCAUUUUGGGAAGAAAGGUAAGUUAGCUCCACGAUACAUUGGACCCUUUGAGAUUUUGCAGAGGAUCGAAAAUGUGUCAUAUAAGCUAGAUUUACCUGCGUCUAUGGAGAGAAUUCACCCGGUAUUUCAUGUUUCUAUGCUACGGCAGUUUGUGUCAGAUCCGAAUCAGGUUCUGAGUGAGCCUGAGGUGGAGAUUCGUACAGAUCUCACCUAUAUAGAGCAGCCAGUGCGGAUUCUGGACACACAGAUCAGACAGCUAAGGAACAAAGAGAUCCCAAUGGUGAAAGUUCUGUGGAACCACCAUAAUCUAGAAGAAUGUACCUGGGAGACGCGGGAGUCUAUGCUCCAGCAGUAUCCAUAUUUGUUUUGAGGUUAGUUUCCUCCUUUUUAUGUGUUUAUGGUUUGUUUUCGGAACAUUCGAGGAUGAAUGUUCUUAAUGGGGGGAGAAUGUAAUACCCGGCUAGAGUCCGGCAUCGGAAUUCUACUUUUCGGUGGAAUCCGGGAUGUCAGAAGUCUCUAGAAGGGGUAGAUUUCUAUUUUUCUACCAUGUUUUGAUAUGUUUCAUAGUUUUAAAGCCUAAGGAAAUGAGUUUUUGAAUGAAAUGAACCAAGGCAGAAAAGCCAGGUUCGGCCGCCGAAGUUGAGGUUCGGCCGCCGAACAUGCAUGGCUUUCGGUUUCAUGAUAGGCCGCCGAAGGUGGUCUAGCCAGCCACCUAUAAAAGGCCCUCAGUUUGUUGAAAGGAUAAGCUUCGCCGCUUCCUUUCGAUUUCUGAGGUGAGACUCUGUCCUUCUUGAGUAUUUUACAUGUUUUCAUCAAAUCUUGCAAAGGUUUGAUUAGUUUUUAUGUUAUUUUGAAGGUUUUAAGCUAAAAACUCAAAGUUGUGACUUUUGGAGAGUUUGAAGAAGAGUUGCUUCAAAACUCCACGUUAGGAUCAUUCAUCUACUUGGUUGCAAAAGGUAAGUGAAGAUCUUGAACUUGUUUUUAUGAUUUUUGAUGGUUUUAUGGAGUUUUUGGAGAGAGUUGCAUGAAUAGGUUAAAAAGAGAGUUUUUGGUGAUUUUUGUGAGAAAAGCUUGUUUGUGUGAUAUGUGCUUUGUGUUGUUGGGGUUUUUAGGUAGUGUUUGACCCCUUUGAGGACCCAGAUCAGAGGACCCAGAGAGAGCAGCAGUGAGUACUGCUCCAGAGUGUUUAGAGCCUGUAGAGUCAGUUCAGAUAGCCAGAGGUGAGUGGAACUAAACUUAAAUCUUUUAAUUGACCAAUGGAAUGUUUUAGCAUAUUUCAUGCAUCAGGAUUAUGCAAUAGGUUGAUUGCAUUAAUAUCCACGAAUAUGUUGCAUUGCAUAGUUAUUUGUUGAUGUGGGUGAAUGCUGAAUGAUCCAAUAGUCUCAGACAGGAAGUCCAGGAGCCUUUGACUACGCCCUGGCAGGUAUAGUAAAGACCAGGAGCCUUUGACUACGCCUUGGCAGGUAUAGUAAAGACCAGGAGCCUUUGACUACGCCCUGGCAAUGGCAAGUACAGAGGUGUUAUAUACACAUAUACAUAUAUGACAGGAAGACCAGGUGCUCGAUUCUACGCCCUGGCACAGAGUUACUGGGACUAUGAGGUGACAGGUUUACCUUUGAUGUGGAUUGUCUGUGAUAUGGUGCAUUCCAUGAGAUCAUGUUUUAAAUGAUAUGUUUUACUGUUCUACUCACUGGGCUAUAGAGCUCAUCCCACUCCCUUAACCCCAGUCUUGCAGGUUCAGUGUACAGUGUACAGACGGGAUCAGCAGAGUACAGACAGAGUAAAGAGAGUUGUACUAGCUUAGAGUGGACAUGUAAAUUGAAAGAGAUGUAACAGUUGUGUAUACAGUUAGAAAUGUGCUUGACUUAGUGAUGUUUGUGUUGUAAAUCCUUUGUUAUGUACAUGAUCUGUAUAUGUAUAUAUGUUUUACUGUAUAUGAAAAACCAGGCUUAACAGGUAUGAGUUAACCCAUCUAGAGCAAGCUCUAGUCAGGGGUACAGAGUACAGAGUACAGAGUACAGAGAUAGUGCAUGCACAAGUUAAGCCUUGGUACAGAGAAAAGAGUUUUUAUUUUCACAGAAAAUGUAUGAUCAUGUAUGAGAUUUACAAGUACACAGAGAGUAUAGCAGGCUUGCUACGGGUUCUGGCGGCCUUAAGCCGACCUGAAUCCUAGCGCCGAUGACGGUCCAUUUUGGGGUCGUUACAGUAACGGUCCGGAUUUCGGGUCGUUACAGAUUGGUAUCAGAGCCCUAGGUUCAUAUGGUCAGACCUAUAGAGAAUGUCGGGCUCAUAGAUGUUAUAGAAGGUCAAGCACAAUAGGAAAAUCAUGUCCACUAGGAUAGGAUGUAGAGUCCUGUCUUGAAUGAUGAUGUGAAAUGCCAUGAUUAUAUGCAUGUGCAUUAAAGAUAUGCUAUGUAUGUGAUGUAUGUGAUGCGGGUUCAUGUGUUUGCAUAUGAACCAUUUGAUGCUAAUGUUUAUGUAAUGUGUGAUGUUUUACAGUAAACAGGAUGAAGGGAACUUGUCGAUCUGCACGAUUGACUGGAGUACCACCGGAGGAUGAGGGCAUGAGUGCCCGUUCCCCUGCAUUGCCAAGGGCAAUGUCUAGCAGGUCUAGCAAGGAAAGAGCAGUGAGAGACCCUAGAAGGUCUUUGGAUAUGAACAGAAGCAGGUCAGUAAGGGGAACAGUGCAAAGAGGAAUGUCAGAGAAUGUGGGGGAUGAUAUGGAUGUGGAUCAAAGGAGGGAUGGCAGUCUUGGAGUGAGUAUGUCGGAGGAGGGUAUGGGAGAGUCCCAAGGAGGCACUCAGGCCUCGGGAUUUGUUCAGCCACCUCAGUACCCACCCUUUUCUCAGAAUCCCGGGUAUUCGAUGGGAGGUACAUCGGAUUACGCCAGCUUUAACCCUUAUCACUCCCACAUGCCAUACCCACCUUUCUACCCACCAUACCCACAGUACCCUAUGUACCCACCCCCAUCCGUCUACCCAGGUACAACAAACCCUACCCCAGGGGAUGCUGCACCUCCUUCACCACCAGCAGUACCUACUAUACCAGAAACCCAAAUGCCUAAACCUAGCUCAUCUGGAGGGAGCAAGGUCAAGAUGACCGAUUACAUAAAGCUGGGUGCUCCCCAGUUUGAAACCGGUGAUGACCCGUUUGUGUAUCUUGAGAGGGUCAGAACGAUUACAGAUGAGAUAGGAGCUGAUGACAGUAGAGCCAUUCAGAUGGCUGGGUUCACACUAAAGUGCAAGAAGGCCCGUGAGUGGUUCAAGAACUAUGUGAAUCCGAGGUUGGAUAGUCUUUCAUGGGAGGAGUUUGCGAACGAGUUUGCAGGAUGGGCUUUCCUUGACAGUUCAAGGGAGUUGAAGAUGAUUGAAUUUGAGCAGUUGAGGUAGACAUAUGAGAUGAGUGUGGAUGAGUAUACAGACAGAUUCUUGGAGCUGUUGCCGUUUGCUGGGCAGAAUCUGGACACAGAUCAGAAGAAGUCAAGGAGGUAUAUCAUGAGGCUCCAUUCCAGGUAUUCCUCCUUGAUUCAGUCAUCAGAGAGGGAGAGUUUCCAUGCCAUAGUGGAUAUGGCUCGGAGGAUGGAGGCUAGUGCAAUAAUCGAAGGGAAAGUCAAGCUGUCAGUGGCACAGCCUUCUGGUUCCAAGACCCCAGAUGGGGGAAAGUUAGACCCUUCUUCUCUGAGUUUAGGCAGUAAGAGGUGGGGUAAUACCACCAAGAAGCCAAAGAAGAACAAGUUCUGGAACAAGAUCAAGUCAGGUCUGGGAUUAGGAGGUGGCUUGAGCUCAGGUGCAGAUAAUGCAGUAUGUAGGAAGUGUGGAAAGCCGCACAAGGGUGUAUGUCUGGUUGGGACGAUAGCCUGCUUCAGAUGUGGGCAGGAGGGACACAUGGCACGGGAGUGUCCUAGAGCAGCUUUUAUGGCGCAGUCUCAGCAGACAGCCUCUGGUAGUGUGGCUCAACCAGUAGCUCCAACCGCGACUCAGGCUAGUGGCAGAGGCCGAGGGAGAGGGGCAGCCUCUUCUUCAGCGGGUUUCAGGAGUGAAGGUCCAUCAGCUCCAGCACGGAUCUUCACUAUGACUCAGCAGGAGGCAAAUGCAUCAAACACCAUGGCCUCAGGUAAUCUCAUCAUUGGUUGUUCUGAUGUUUAUGCCUUAAUGGACCCUGGUGCAUCGCAUUCUUUCAUUGCUCUGAGGGCCGUCGAGAGGUUGGGAUUGAUGGUCUCUGGGUUAGAGUGUCCCCUAUGGGUCAGUGGACCCAAAUGUUACCCGUCAGUGGCAGAGUCAGUCUGCCAGUGUAGUCUAGUUUUUGUGGAGGGAAGAUGCCUUUCUGCUGACCUUGUGGUUCUAGAUUUGACAGAUUUUGACGUCAUUCUAGGGAUGGAUUGGCUAUCUACCCAUGGUGCUACCUUGGAUUGCAGAGACAAGGUAGUCAGGUUAAGAUGUCAGGAUGGGUCAGAGGUUGUCUUCAGUGGAGACAGGGGGAGUACACCUAGAGGUUUGAUAUCAGCCCUUCAGGCUCGUAGGUUGCUCAGGAGGGGUUGUCAGGGUUUUCUAGCUCAUGUGAGAGAGCUGGAUAGUCAUGUCAGAGAGCCCGCCUCAAUGCCCGUGGUCAGUGAGUUCUUAGACGUGUUCCCAGACGAACUGCCAGGUUUACCACCUGCUAGGGAGAUAGAGUUCGAAAUUGAGUUGAUGCCUGGAACCAGACCGAUCUCUAUCCCUCCCUACAGGAUGGCACCAACAGAAUUGAAGGAGCUUAAGGAGCAGUUACAAGAGCUGGUAGAUAAGGGCUUCAUCCGCCCGAGUACCUCACCUUAGGGUGCUCCAGUGCUGUUUGUGGAAAAGAAAGAUGGAUCCCUUAGACUUUGUAUCGACUACAGGCAGUUGAACAAAGUCACUACCAAUAAUAAGUACCCGUUGCCAAGGAUCGACGAUCUAUUCGACCAGCUAGCAGGAGCAGGUUGUUUCUCCAAAAUAGAUCUGAGAUCUGGGUACCAUCAGCUGAGGAUAAGAGAAGAGGAUGUACCGAAGACAGCAUUCAGGACCAGAUAUGGGCACUAUGAGUUCCUUGUGAUGCCGUUCGGGUUAACCAAUGCCCCUGCAGCAUUCAUGGAUCUCAUGAACAGAGUAUUUAGCCAAUACCUGGAUCACUUUGUUAUUGUCUUCAUAGAUGAUAUCUUAGUGUAUUCUAGGAAUGCAGAGGAGCAAGCCCAUCAUCUGAGGUUGGUUUUGUAGACCUUGAGGGAACACGACUUGUAUGCCAAGUUCUCCAAGUGUGAAUUCUGGCUGAGGAGCAUUUCAUUCUUGGGGCAUGUGGUGUCAGAAAAUGGAAUCGAGGUAGACCCCAAGAAAGUGGAAGCUGUAGCUAACUGGCCUAGACCCACUACGGUGACAGAGAUCAAGAGCUUCUUGGGUUUGGCAGGUUACUACAGGAGGUUCGUCCAGGACUUCUCUAAGAUUGCAGCUCCUAUGACCAGACUGACUAAGAAGAACCAGAGGUUUGUGUGGACCGACCAGUGUGAAGAAAGCUUUGAGGAGCUCAAGAAGAGGUUGACUUCAGCACCAGUGUUAGCUCUGCCAACUAGUAAUGAAGACUUCACGGUUUUAUGUGAUGCGUCCCGUGUGGGACUGGGUUGUGUGCUGAUGCAAAAUGAAAGGGUGAUUGCUUAUGCUUCUAGGCAGCUGAAGAAGCACAAGUUGAAUUACCCUACACAUGACCUAGAGAUGGCAGCGGUAAUCUUUGCACUCAAGAUGUGGAGGCAUUACCUUUAUGGGGUAAAAUGUGAGAUCUUCACAGAUCAUAAAAGCCUGCAGUACAUCCUGAGUCAGAGAGAGCUGAAUUUGAGGCAGAGAAGAUGGGUAGAACUGCUCAGUGACUAUGAUUGCAAGAUUCAGUACCAUCCGGGUAAGGCGAAUGUUGUGGCAGACGCCUUAAGCCGGAAAUCACUUGGCAGUUUAUCCCAUAUUUCAACAGAGAGGAGGCCAGUAGUGAGGGAGUUCUUCGAGCUCAUUAAUGAAGGGUUGCAGUUGGAGUUGUCUGGUACAGGUGCUUUGAUUGCCCAGAUGAGAGUGGCACCCAUGUUUCUGGAGCAGGUGGCUCAGAAACAGCACGAGGACCCAGAGUUAGUGAAAUUGCCAGGACUGUUCAGUCAGGCAAAAAUGAAGAGUUCAGGUUUGACAGUAAGGGGAUCCUCCGCUAUGGGAAUAGAUUAUGUGUACCAGAUGACGUGGGACUGAAGGGAGACAUUAUGAGAGAGGCUCAUAAUGCCAGAUACAGUGUUCACCCUGGAGCCACCAAAAUGUAUUAAGAUCUGAAGAGAGUUUAUUGGUGGCCAGCUAUGAAAAGAGAAGUGGCACAGCUCGUGUCAGCCUGCGAAGUAUGUCAGAGGGUGAAGCUGGAACAUCAGAAGCCGGCUGGAAUGCUUAACCCACUACCUAUUCCAGAGUGGAAAUGGGAGAAUAUUGCUAUGGACUUCGUGGUGGGGUUACCGGCAGCGUCCAACAGAUUAGACUCCAUAUGGGUGAUUGUGGACAGACUAACGAAAUCUGCUCACUUUAUCCCUGUCAGGAGUGGCUAUUCUGUGGACAAGUUGGCGCAGGUGUAUGUUGAUGAGGUUGUCAGGCUGCAUGGGGUUUCUGUUUCAAUAGUGUCUGAUAGAGGACCCCAGUUCACCUCCAGGUUUUGGCGGAGUCUGCAGAACGCUAUGGGUACCAGGUUGGAUUUCAGCACUGCUUUCCAUCCUCAGACGGACGGACAAUCAGAGAGGAUCAUCCAAACAAUAGAGGAUAUGCUCAAAAUGUGUGUGCUGGAUUUUGGCGGUUCUUGGAGGCAGCAUCUACCUUUGGUGGAGUUUGCCUACAAUAACAGCCAUCAUGCUAGCAUAGGGAUAGCCCCAUAUGAAGCUUUGUAUGGAAGGAAGUGCAGGUCGCCUGUCUGUUGGGAAGAAGUUGGAGAAAAGGCCUUGGCAGGGCCUGAGUUAGUAGAAAUCACCAGCAGAGUGGUGCCCAUAAUCAGAGAAAGGAUCAAGACUGCUGCGAGUAGACAGAAGAGUUAUGCAGACAUCCGCAGAAGGCAGGUAGAGUUUCAGGAGGGGGAUUUGGUAUUGCUCAAAGUGUCUCCAAUGAAAGGGGUGAUUCGGUUCGGGAAGAAAGGUAAGCUAGCUCCACGGUACAUCGGACCCUUUGAGAUCUUGCAGAAGAUCGGGAAUGUAUCGUACAAGUUGGACUUACCUGCUUCUAUGGAAAGAAUCCAUCCGGUUUUCCAUGUUUCUAUGCUACGAAAGUUUAUGUCAGAUCCGGAUAAGGUUCUUAGUGAGCCUGAUGUGGAGGUCCAAGAGGAUCUCACUUAUGUUGAACAGCCAGUACGGAUUCUUGACACUCAGAUCAGAAAGUUGAGAAACAAGGAGAUCCUGAUAGUGAAAGUCCUUUGGAAUCACCACAACAUCGAAGAGUGUACCUGGGAGACACGGGAGUCCAUGCUCCAGCAAUAUCCUCAUCUCUUCUAAAGUGAGUUUUAUGUGCUUUGUAUGUAUGUUUAUGUUUUAUGCUAUGUUUUAUGCCAUGCUCUAUUUGUUUGGUGAACAUUCGGGGACGAAUGUUCUUAAAGGGGGAAGAAUGUAAUACCCGGCUAGACUCCAGUAUCGGAAUUCCUACCGUCCGGUGGAAUCUCGGAUGUCGAAAACCUCUAGAAGGGUAAAACCAUGUUUUCAUAAAAUGUUUUAAUGUAUUUUAUGGUUUUAAGCAAGAAAGGAAAUGAGUUUUGUAUGAAAAUAGCCUUGGAGGAAAAACUCAGGUUCGGCCGCCGAACCUCAAGUUCGGCUGCCGAACAUGCAUGCGCUUUGGGAGUGCUCUAGGCCCCCGAAGGCAUAAGUGAGGGAAGUCUAGGUUCGGCCGCCGAACCUUAUGUUCGGCCGCCGAACAUGGCAUGCAUGCGGAGGCACGUUAGGCCCCCGAAAGUGGCCUGGCCAGCCACCUAUAAAGGGGUCCCCAUGUCCGAACGGGUGAGCUUUUCUCCCCGUUUUCGGCCAAGGUGAGUUCUCCGCCGUCCCUCAUCGAUUUUGAGCUUCUUCCUUCGAAUCUUUAUGAUUUUCUUAUGAGUUUUCACUUGGUUUGAAGAUAUUUGAGCAAAAGAGCAAGUUUUGAAGCUUGGAGACCAAAGAGGUGAUUUAUCCCCAUCUCCAAGCUAGGAUCGUCUUUCCUCUCGAUCUCCAAGAGGUAAGCUUAGAUCCAACCUUCCUUGUAUGUUUUAAGCAAGUUUUAUGAAGAUUUAUGGGGUAGAAAUGCAUGUUUAGGUUAUUGUUGAGUUUAUGGGUUUAUGUUAUGUGUAUGAGCAAUGUGGGUAGUAUGUGUACGUUUGAUGUGUUUUGGUUGGGGUUUAGGAUAGUUUGAGACCCCUAUAUACUUGUUGGCCUCUGUUUGCUUGUUGUAGAAUAAGUAAAUGCAUGUGUGAUUGGAUUGGGAGGUUUUUUAUGCAUGAAAGAGGCUGAGUUCUGCCCUUGGGAAGAACUCAGGUUCGGCAGCCGAAGGCUCUUUCAGCUGCCGAACCUGCCUGUGGAGGCCAACUUUUGGCUGCCGAACCUUGCCCUCGAAAGUGGACUUUCGAUUCUGGAAGGGAGUUUCGGCCGCCGAAGGUGCCGCUGAACAUGCAUGAGUUUUGUCUCUGGAGGGAACCUUCGGCCGCCGAAAGUGCCGCAGAAGGUGCAUGACUUUCGGCUCUGGAGGGACUUUCGGCCGCCGAACCUGCCGCCGAAAGUGCCCUGUGCAGCCCUCCUUUGCAUGUUUUCUAUGAUUGUUUUGAGGUGUUUUAGGGGGAUUUUGGGGAGUAUUUUGAGUCAUGUUCUUGGAUGUUUGGUCCUUCAUUUGAGUCCACCUGUGUAGGUUCGGACCCGAGGAACCGAGGGCCCCAGCAGUGAGUUAGCAGCUUUACAGUCAGCCUGAGGUGAGUAGAAUAAACCUUUAUGUUUUAAUUUAAUGAAAGUUUUUGCAUAACUCAUGCAUCACGAAUGCCAUGUGAUAUUCUAGGUUGUUGCAUUAGAAAUUCACGAAUAUGUUGCAUUGCAUAUUAUGUUUUUGAUGUGGAUGAAUGUUGAAUGAUCCAUUAGUCCUUGUAUGUUAUGGUAUGAUAUGAUGAUGAUAUGGUUUGGAAGUCCAGGAAGACCCAUUCUACGUCCCUGGCACUAUGUAAGAGAAAGUCCAGGAAGACCCAUUCUACGUCCCUGGCACUAUGUAAGAGAAAGUCCAGGAAGACCCAUUCUACGUCCCUGGCACUAUUGGAUAUGUAGAGGACUAUUGGUGACAAGUUCAUCCUUAAUGUGAUUUGUUUGUGAUGUGAUGCAUUUCAUGAAAGCAUGAACUUUUAAUAUAAUGUUUUAUUAUUCUGCUCACUGGGCUCUAGUAGCUCACCCCGUUUCCCUAAUCCCCCAGGUAUGUAGGUUCGGGAUAGGCCAGGAGGUCAAGAAGAGUAAAGUUUUGUCUAUGUAAUACUUAGAUGUGGACAUGAUAUAUUGUAAAGUACUAAACAGUUAUGUAAUGUAAUGAUGAGUAUGGAGGUUUAGAAUUGUGCUUGACCCUAGUAUGUUGUUAAUCCCUUUUUGGUUACAUGAUCUUUUAAUGAAAUGUUUUAUGAUAUUUAAGUUUAACCAAACUUUUAUGAUAUUAUGUUACCCCAUUGGAGCAUUGAUGAGGACUCCAAUGUGGGGUUGAUGAUUAUGAUCAUUAGUUGUGCAUGCACAGGUUGAGUUUGGCAAUUGAAUGAGAAAAGUUCAAAAUUUUUAUGUUUAUGAUUGAUCAUGUAUGGGAUUAAACAGGUUUUCAGGAUGUAUGUCAGGCUUGCUAUGGGUCCCGGCGGCCUUGUGCCGAUCUGGAUCCUAGCGCCGGUAACGGUCCGGAUUCUGGGUCGUUACAAGAACCAUAUCAUAGCUAUAACUCAUUUUGGCAUGUACAUAUACUAUGCAUAUACACAUACAUACUAUGACCUAGAACCGCCUAAACCUUUGCUCCGAUACCACUAAUUGUAACACCCAUUACCCUAUCAAAGUGUAGACAGAGCAAGGAAUAUCACAAACUAUGCCUCUUUUGAUAUAUCCAGACUAAACAAUUUCCUUUAUCUGUAAAUACCAAGUUUUAAGUAGUCCAAGCAAUUUUUAUAAGGUGAAUAAAGUAACUGUGAGAUUUUAAACCAAAAUGUAUUUUGGCAGAAUUUCCUCUAUUUCAUAAGCACUUUAACCUGUAAUACAUAUGAAAAUCACACUUAUAAUUACACUAACAACUGUCAUUUGAUAUAUUACUAUUCCUUGAUUUACAUAAUCUUUACAACUCACUCUAUUAAAUAUGUACAUGCCAAAAUAUAACUGUACUAUGACUCAAAACUCAAAACAACCAGCUAUGAUAAUGGCUUUGAUAUCUAAUGUAGAUCUCUGAUGAACUCCGCGUAUCUACUUUAUCUACAACCUGCGUGAGGUAAGAACCAACACGCUGAGCUAAUGCUCAGUGGGUGAUAGAAAACAAAUAACAAAAUAAAGCAAACAAGAUCACUUAUACAGAUAAUCAAGUAAACAAUUUCAAACUAAUCAAAAGUUGUUAACAUUCACUGAUAACUUCACAAAACAAGUGUCAACCUUAAUUAGGUCCUUAGCCCUUAUAACCACAUAGUAGGGUCGACUAGGUAGAUAAGGAAUUAUAACGGUAGGCACAGGGUGCCGAACGGUAGGCUCAGAGGCCAAAACUGUGAUAGCAGGGCUUUGUGGCCAUGCUUAUGAGGUACCUGAUAUGUAACCUCAAAUAUAGAUCAUGUAUCGGUAGCAGUACUGCGAACUCUGUAUGUUUAUAUGGCAUGCCAUACCCUUAAGCUAACCUCGACUCCUAUUACGUUUACCAGGGCCAAGUAUCAUUAAUUCAAUGUAAAUGCACAUCAUUUGAAGCUAUUUGAAUUCAUUUGCAAAAUACACAUAUCAUAUGUCAAAGUCAACAAGAUGAGAAAUUCAUGGCAAAUGGUGCAAAACUUUGUCAACAUAGCAUUCCAAUUUGAGAAAACUGCAUUCUGCCUUCCAAUUUGAGAAAACUGCAUUCUGCCUUAUAUUGCAUAAACUUUUCAAGUAGAUUAGAGUUACAAUUUGACUUCAGUUUCUUCAUAACAAAUGUACAUUUAUGUCUUAUCUUUCCAACAAGGUAUGGUUCAUGCAAUUCUGAACAUUCUAACUUAAGUUAUGAAUUUUUCUUUACAAGCUGCUCAAUAAGAUAUUAAACAGUCCAGUAUUGGUACCUGUUUAUAGUAUCACAAAACAUAUCAGAUUCAUGUAUUUUCAUACAAAUUCAAGCUUAAGUGUCUUCUACAAAGUUUUAGGUAUAUUUCUUAAGAUUCAUUUGGAACUUAUUUUAAUAAAUUUCACUGAGUACAUAAUUAAUUAUGGUACAAUCAAUACACACUGUUCCGAAUGCACUAACUCUGUGUCCAGUUUAGGUUCACUUGAAAUUUUCAUCAUCUUACCUACAGAUUCAGAAUUUGGUCAAUUCAUGAAAGUUUUAUAUCUUUGUCUCAGAUUUCAUUUGGUAUAUCUUAGGUCUAAUUUCAAUAAAUAUACAAUAAGUUAUGAAGUUGUCAACAUAAACUGCCCUGUUACAACCUAUUCUACCAGGUUUGCACUUUUAGUUCUCAUGUUAAAUUUCUUUACUCUAAGCCUUUCAAACACCACUUUAACAUUUAUAUGACAUAUUUAUACAAUCAAAGCAAUAUUUCCAGCAAGUAAAAUCAAUCCCCAACUUCAUAUAUCAAUGAUAAAAUUCAAGGAAAACAGAAAAUCAUUGAAACACCAAACCUUUCUUGAAUUCCUCUUUCUUUUCCUCUUCUAUUCUCUAGCUAUCUCCUUUCCCUUUGAUGUUCCUUCACCUAGGUCAAUUUAUGUCUUAGGAAAGGAUUGAAUAAGUUGUAAAUUAAAGCUUUAUAAUUCAAAUUCAUGCAUGAAGAAAUGAGAAGAUGUUAUUUCCUACACUUUUCUAAGCUUACCUUUGAUUUUCAAACUUGGUGCAUAUGGAACCCUAAACUUUUCUUCUUCAAUCCCUUCAAUAUAUGGCUGUUCCUUUAGCUCUUGGUCUUAGGAUGAAUUUUAAUUAAAGCAAGAAGUUGAUUGGAUGAGAUUUGGCUUGGCUUUGGUGGAAGGAAGACAAAAUAAAGCUUUGGUUUUCGAUGGUGGGAGCUACGGCAAAGUGAAAUGGUGGAGAAGAUAAUCCCUUUUUCAUUUUGCUUUAUCAUUUCUCCUUUCCUUAGUUAGGUGACACAUGGAAAUAAACUUAAUUUUAUGUUUUAACUUUCCAUAUUUACACUUUAACCUACUAAACUCUUUACCAUGUUUCAAUUUAGUUUUUAAACUUUCAAUAAUCAUAGAUUGACCUACUAAACUAUACAUUUAGCCUUUUAGAAGUCCUUUUCACUUAAGCAAGCAUGACGGAUUUAAACAAGCACCUCAAGCAAGCACGUCGGGAAACCCUAAGCACCUCCCGAAAGUGACUCGUUCCCGACUCACUAAUCACACUGGCUACUUCAUUUCUGGAUAUG